rnacentral:rRNA from 1 species
GAUGAACGCUGGCGGCGUGCCUAAUACAUGCAAGUCGAACGCUGGAAAUCUAGCUUGCUAGAUUGAAGGAGUGGCGAACGGGUGAGUAAUACAUAAGCAACCUACCCACGAAGACUGGGAUAAUCUCUGGAAACGGGGACUAAUACCGGAUAGGUAAUCGGAAGGCAUCUUCUGAUUAUUAAAGGUUAAAAACACUGGUGGAUGGGCUUAUGGCGCAUUAGUUAGUUGGUGAGGUAACGGCCCACCAAGACGAUGAUGCGUAGCCGGCCUGAGAGGGUGAACGGCCACAUUGGGACUGAGACACGGCCCAGACUCCUACGGGAGGCAGCAGUAGGGAAUUUUCUGCAAUGGGGGAAACCCUGACCGAGCAACGCCGCGUGAGUGAUGACGGCCUUCGGGUUGUAAAGCUCUGUUGUAAGGGAAGAACGGUAGAUAGAGAAUAUCUAAAUGACGGUACCUUACCAGAAAGCCACGGCUAACUACGUG